UAAUCAUAUGCUUGUCUCUAAGAUUAAGCCAUGCAUGUCUAAGUUCAAACAGUAAAAUGUGAGACUGCGAAAGGCUCAGUAAAUCAGCUAUAAUCUAUUUGAUUGUAUCACCCAUUGGAUAACCGUGGGAAAUCUAGAGCUAAUACAUGCAGUUACACCACAGCAUCGCAAGGUGUUGUGGUAGCAUUUAUUGGAAAAUACCAACGCUGGUAGUGUACGGUGGAGACGCCGUAGGCUGCUGGAUAGGUGAAUCUGGAUAACUGUGCUGAUCGUAUGGCCUUGAGCCGACGACGUUUCAAUUGAAUUUCUGCCCUAUCAACUUGUUGGUAAGGUCGAGGCUUACCAAGGUUGUAACGGGUAACGGGGAAUCAGGGUUCGAUUCCGGAGAGGGAGCCUGAGAAAUGGCUACCACAUCCAAGGGAGGCAGCAGGCGCGCAAAUUACCCAAUCCACAAUGUGGGAGGUGGUGACGAGAAAUACUAGGUCGUUUCCCUAUGGGAAUGCGAUACUGGAAUGAGCACAACUUAAGACAUUUGUCGAGUAACAACUGAAGGGCAAGUCUGGUGCCAGCAGCCGCGGUAAUUCCAGCUUCAGUAGUGUAUAUUAAUGCUGCUGCGGUUAAAACGCUCGUAGUUGAAUGACGAAGCACGGGACGGUACUUUGUCAUUAGUCACAUCAAACUGUGGGUGCAUGCUGUGGCGUGGACUACGUUUACGUCGCAGUUUGUAUCUGCAGUGUGGCUGAUGGCAAUUAACAGCCGUUCCGGGCUACUAGAUUGUGAGAAUGGUGAAUGACCUUUACUGUGUCGCUCAUCGUGUCUCGCAGAGUGUGCCUUGAAUAAACCAGAGUGCUCAAAGCAGGCAUGUUGCUUGAAUGUUAAUAGCAUGGAACGAACAAAUGUGAUUGACGUGCAGCGUCAUGAGUGGCGCAAGGAUUAUGUCUUUGCGUUACAAGUGGCGUUGCACAGCACCAACCACCAGAACGGAUGUUGGUUUCCGUUUUGGGGUGAUGAUUAAAAGGGGCGGUUGGGGGCAUUGGUAUUUGGCCGCGAGAGGUGAAAUUCUUGGACCGGCCAAGGACUAACAAAUGCGAAGGCAUCUGCCAAGACCGUUCCCGUUGAUCAAGAGCGAUAGUGAGAGGUUCGAAGACGAUCAGAUACCGUCCUAGUUCUCACUGUAAACUAUGCCAACCCGGGAUCAGUUUUGAGCUAUGUAUAAACGCUCGUGGUUGGUCCCCCUGGGAAACCUUAAGUUUUUAGGUUCCGGGGGGAGUAUGGUUGCAAGGCUGAAACUUAAAGGAAUUGACGGAAGGGCACCACCAGGAGUGGAGCCUGCGGCUUAAUUUGACUCAACACGGGAAAACUCACCUGGUCCGGACAUCGAUAGGAUCGACAGACUGAUAGAUCUUUCGUGAUACGGUGUGUGGUGGUGCAUGGCCGUUCUUAGUUCGUGAAGUGAUUUGUCUGGUUAAUUCCGUUAACGAACGAGACCACAGUCUCCAUUUACGGAGUCGAUGCAAUAGUGAAUGCACUGCAUGCAAAUGUAGGGUGUGAGCUAUGCUGGCAAUCGUUGGUUUCAUUCGUCGAGCCGUUAAAAGUGAGGCGGGUGCGACCAGUGAUUCCCAUCGACUAAACACUGUGCAGUUAACGCUGCACAAUGUGCUAUGGAGAGACAACCGGGUAUAUAACAAAGCCGGAGUAAGCUAUGGCGAUAACAGGUCUGUGAUGCCCUUAGAUGUUCAGGGCCGCACGCGCGCUACAAUGAUAACAACAGAGAGUUUUUAUUCCGAAAGGAACGAGCAAUCUUGUAAAUUGUUAUCGUGAUGGGGAUUGUGCCUUGUAAUUAUUGCACAUGAAAGAGGAAUUCCUAGUAAGUGCUCGGAAUCAACGAGUGCUGAUUGCGUCCCUGCCCUUUGUACACACCGCCCGUCGCUACUACCGAGUGAAUGGUGUCAUUGAUGCCCUUGUGACCGGACGCUAAAGUAGACUUUCGGGUUUACUAAGCGCUGGAAUCAAUGUAAAAUGGCGCAAUUUCGAGGAAGUAAAAGUCGUAACAAGGUUU
rnacentral:rRNA from 1 species